rnacentral:rRNA from 2 species
GGCGGCGUGCUAUACAUGCAAGUCGAACGAACUCUGGUAUUGAUUGGUGCUUGCAUCAUGAUUUACAUUUGAGUGAGUGGCGAACUGGUGAGUAACACGUGGGAAACCUGCCCAGAAGCGGGGGAUAACACCUGGAAACAGAUGCUAAUACCGCAUAACAACUUGGACCGCAUGGUCCGAGUUUGAAAGAUGGCUUCGGCUAUCACUUUUGGAUGGUCCCGCGGCGUAUUAGCUAGAUGGUGGGGUAACGGCUCACCAUGGCAAUGAUACGUAGCCGACCUGAGAGGGUAAUCGGCCACAUUGGGACUGAGACACGGCCCAAACUCCUACGGGAGGCAGCAGUAGGGAAUCUUCCACAAUGGACGAAAGUCUGAUGGAGCAACGCCGCGUGAGUGAAGAAGGGUUUCGGCUCGUAAAACUCUGUUGUUAAAGAAGAACAUAUCUGAGAGUAACUGUUCAGGUAUUGACGGUAUUUAACCAGAAAGCCACGGCUAACUACGUGCCAGCAGCCGCGGUAAUACGUAGGUGGCAAGCGUUGUCCGGAUUUAUUGGGCGUAAAGCGAGCGCAGGCGGUUUUUUAAGUCUGAUGUGAAAGCCUUCGGCUCAACCGAAGAAGUGCAUCGGAAACUGGGAAACUUGAGUGCAGAAGAGGACAGUGGAACUCCAUGUGUAGCGGUGAAAUGCGUAGAUAUAUGGAAGAACACCAGUGGCGAAGGCGGCUGUCUGGUCUGUAACUGACGCUGAGGCUCGAAAGUAUGGGUAGCAAACAGGAUUAGAUACCCUGGUAGUCCAUACCGUAAACGAUGAAUGCUAAGUGUUGGAGGGUUUCCGCCCUUCAGUGCUGCAGCUAACGCAUUAAGCAUUCCGCCUGGGGAGUACGGCCGCAAGGCUGAAACUCAAAGGAAUUGACGGGGGCCCGCACAAGCGGUGGAGCAUGUGGUUUAAUUCGAAGCUACGCGAAGAACCUUACCAGGUCUUGACAUACUAUGCAAAUCUAAGAGAUUAGACGUUCCCUUCGGGGACAUGGAUACAGGUGGUGCAUGGUUGUCGUCAGCUCGUGUCGUGAGAUGUUGGGUUAAGUCCCGCAACGAGCGCAACCCUUAUUAUCAGUUGCCAGCAUUAAGUUGGGCACUCUGGUGAGACUGCCGGUGACAAACCGGAGGAAGGUGGGGAUGACGUCAAAUCAUCAUGCCCCUUAUGACCUGGGCUACACACGUGCUACAAUGGAUGGUACAACGAGUUGCGAACUCGCGAGAGUAAGCUAAUCUCUUAAAGCCAUUCUCAGUUCGGAUUGUAGGCUGCAACUCGCCUACAUGAAGUCGGAAUCGCUAGUAAUCGCGGAUCAGCAUGCCGCGGUGAAUACGUUCCCGGGCCUUGUACACACCGCCCGUCACACCAUGAGAGUUUGUAACACCCAAAGUCGGUGGGGUAACCUUUUAGGAACCAGCCGCCUAAGGUGGGACAGAUGAUUA